rnacentral:rRNA from 1 species
GCUUACGGCCAUACCAGCCUGGGUACGCCCGAUCUCGUCUGAUCUCGGAAGCUAAGCAGGGCCUGGUUAGUACUUUGAUGGGACACUGCCUGGGAAUACCAGGUGCUGUAAGCA